UACGAAGGGGGCUAGCGUUGCUCGGAAUGACUGGGCGUAAAGGGCGCGUAGGCGGCUUGUAUAGUCGGAUGUGAAAUUCCUGGGCUUAACCUGGGGGCUGCAUACGAGACGUAUGGGCUUGAGUGCGGAAGAGGGUCGUGGAAUUCCCAGUGUAGAGGUGAAAUUCGUAGAUAUUGGGAAGAACACCGGUGGCGAAGGCGGCGACCUGGUCCGUGACUGACGCUGAGCGCGAAAGCG
rnacentral:rRNA from 1 species